AUGCGUCUGGCAUCGGCGUCGCAGAAAACAUCAUAUGCGCCCAUUGUGAUUUGUUGGCCUGAAGUACCCGUUGAGUUAUUCGUGCAAAAGCCAGCAUAUGUGACAUUCACACAUAAUAAAUCGCACUAGUAAUGGCGGUGUUUGAUUGAUAUAUGGCACCAUGGCGAGGUUUAUGCAUAUGUGUCACUCUGCGGUUUAGAGCGAUUAGUAUACGUUCGUUUUAAGUACCGGAUUUGUACUCGACGUCGGCGCGUUAAUCGUCAUCACAGACGUUCUUCUUUUGUUUGAAUGGAUUAGAACGUUCUAUUUCGCUCGUUGGUGCGAGAAUGUAAUUAAAACUGCAUCUUGCGUGCCUUAUAAAAGGAAAGAUUAUUGCACAGAGUUCACUCGUUGUAUUUGUAGUAGGACUGUUGCAGUGACCCUUUCCGCCACACCCCUUGUGGGUGCAGAUCAGGCAUUAUGCGUAUUAGCGUAGUCAUUCUAUGUUAACUCGAUAAAGCAGACAAAGAAUCAAUGGAGAACAUGGUGUUGAGAUUCAUCAGAAAACAACUCAAAUUCUGUUUCAAUCAUCACAAAUCUCUGACUGAUAGGACAAGUAGACGCGGAACGGCGAUAAUGUCUUGAAGUAUGAGAGGUCGAUAGCAGUUCAGAAUUGAAAAACCAGAUCGCACCACGUCAUCGUGAUAAUUUUUAAGUAAAUUAUAAAUGGCGGCCAAGAUAGCAAAGAAAUCGGAAUUUCGGCACCAUGCUUGAUGGUUAGUGACGAAUCAAUUAAAGCAAGCAGAAAAUCACGACACGUAGAUGGCAGUUGACUUAUGAUGACUGACAUAAACGUACCAGAUUACUCGGAGAUUGUUUUUGGUUGGUCGGUUCAUCAUCAAAUAAGGAACAGUAAAUUUUGCAAUCAGUAAUCACUUUCAAUCCAAUAUUGUUGGCACACACAAGAAGGCAGGUUUUGCGAAUCCAGCUCUAAAUGUAUGUAACAAAAUUUAUUACUGACCUCGUGGGGAUGCGGAUUGUUUCGUCUAUUGCCAGAGGAAGUCCCAGAACGUAUAGGUUCAUUUUUCGUGGCUUUUUUCCAUCCAAAUUCUUGGGUGCAAGUUGUGCCACCAAUUGGACCAGAUAACUCAUAUGGUGCUGUGAAUCCCUUGCUGGACAUAGGACGUUUGGCCUCGGCGCACAGGCCACUGGAAUAUCCGGGGAAUUCUCUCUCGUGUGUGGUCAAAUAUGGAUGGUCAUAUCUUUUUCCACCUGUAAAUUUAUUAUAUCGAGUAGUAUUUAGUAUAUUAAUUCAAAUGUUUAACAUAUUUAGUUCGUAACUGUCUAGUAUUUUCAACCUGUCAGUAUUAAAAACUCAGCAUUUCGAUUCUAAAACUGACAGGUGGAUUAAACAAAGAAUUUAAUCAUUUAUAUAGAAGUCUUUGAACAUAGCCACAGUUAUAAUAUAUUUUUCAAAAUCUGUUCCAGUGAUAUAAAUUAUAGGAGUCGUUCGAAAUAGGCAUAAUUAACAUUUUGGUUUAUACAUGUAGAAAGUAUCUCACCGAUAGCUGCCAUGGCAGAUUUUGGUCUAUGGUCACUAUGUUGCUGAUUAUUUGCUAAAUUUGUUGUCUUUGGUCGUGAUAAUCUAUGGAUCGAUUCCUUUUGUUUCUGAUAACUUGAUUUUUCCUUUAGGUCGUUUUUUAAAUUUGGUUCCUCAUCAGUUUUAGAAAAUUCCCUAAGUGAUUUCUUUUCUUGAAAUGCUGACUUGGGUCGGCCAACGUGGGUCGCAAAGCCUACUCUAUUUGCUGGCACUUUUGCAGAUGAUGGUCUUUUUGAAGUCACCCGCUCACCGCCUGUUGCAGAUCCGCAGGUUGGCUGAAAGCUCGCUUUGGCUUUAUUGACCUCUUCUCCCUUCAGUUCGAUUUGAGCCAAAAGUCGAAGACAAUGCUCUUUAUCCUUCGGGUUUACUGUACGUUUGUAAAACCACUUGAGGGUAUCUGAAAACUGAGGCUGUACGUUUCCUCCAGUUUCUCCGUGGAGCUGAAAUUGAAAUUUGUGAUAUUGUUCACCCAUUGUGACGUCACAGACUUAAAUGUCAAUCAUGUUUUAACAAACUGAAUAAUCUCAGCGAUACGAGUUGAAAAAAUAAAACCACAAAAAAAGAGAUAAAACUGGUGGGAUUUGUUCCAAAUUUUAAACCACGCAAAACGAAAUAAUCUUCGAUACUGAAUGUCGUAGAAUAAACAAUGGACAAAUCCCAUCCGAAAUAUUUUUUUUAAUUACAAGAAACGCCAAUUCAUAAUUCGAAUAUGUUGUUACAAGUAACGCAUUUUUUGAAGUAAAUAAGCCAUCAAUGUCAAUUGAUAGUACAAGUUACUUACCUUUGGGGCGCCAUAUUCCCAUGCCUUUAUGGGUUCGGGCUCGCCCCAAACGCCCCAAGCUGUUUCAGGUACUCCAGGCAUGUGUACAGUUGUAAAGUUUUUUUUUAAUUUUGCUGUAUAUUCAUAAAUGAAUUUUCAAUACAUACACCGCCUCAUCAUAAUUAAAUGAUCGUGCUGCAUAACCGAAAACUACCUCAAUAUAUUAUGUCUAGCCUAAUGUGAUUAUUUUUAAUAAAUGAAAAGUUAUGCGG